rnacentral:rRNA from 1 species
CCCUUAGAUGUUCUGGGCGGCCCGCGCACUACAUUGGCACUCUCAAUAAGUUCCUAGAUCUAAAACUUUGGGGUAUUCUAUUAAGUGGUGUCGUGACUGGGAUUAACCCUUGCAAUUAUUGGUUACGAACGAGGAAUUCCUUGUAAUCGCGGUUUAUCAGCCCGCGUUGAAUGCGUCCCUGCCCUUUGUACACACCGCCCGUCGCUCCUACCGGUGAAUCGUCCGGUGAAGUUCAUGGAGUGGUGGUUGUUCCAGCUGCUGUCGAAGUGAAAUGGACCUCACGAUUUAGAGGAAGGAGAAGUCGUAACA